GGUUGACUGUAAUAUUGGGAAUCUAUUCAUCACCAAAGUUGCUCCUUAUACACCCUUAAAUGAUUAUUUGAUGCCCGCAAAAUUGAAGGAUCAUGGUUUUGAGGUUUUAAAUGGAGAAGUCAAUUGCCUCAAUUUGGCCACACAAAGCAUACAUAGAGCUGAACCUAAAACAGAUGAAGUAUAUGAUCAAACAACUUUGCUUCCUGAAGCAGAUGUCAGUGUGCUCUGACUUCAGCCAUUGGAUUGAUUGGUACAUCAAUUAAGGAACUACACCCGAGAGCUAAGAAUCAGAGUGCAAUAAACCCGAAUCUCACUGAUUAUCAUUAGAAUGGUGUCUUAAAAUUGGCAAUGAAGGUCGACAAGCCACUGCGAAGUGCUCCUGCACUAAGGUAAUGCGCACAACUUGAACAAGUUUGGCAUAUUUCUGUGAGUGCAUGAAGGAGGAAGCAAGUUAAAUGGGUAAAAUUCAAACUAAUUGUGGUGAACACCUGUACUUAUACAUGCCCACAAGCUAUUUGAGUUGAUGUAUCACGCAGGGCUUCAAUCUAACAGAGAGCAGGAUCUUAAGGAAGAUGUUAAGCAUGGAUAACUUCAAAGGGGUUCGAAGGGGAAACUUUUAGAAUUCAUCAGAUUGCCAUUUUGAACUAUACUUCUCUUGAAGCAUAGAGGUGAGAAAAUAUGUGGGGCCUUUAGGCUGGCAGUGUUCUCAUCUGAUCAAUUACUUGGAGGUAAUUAGUGGGUACUAUGUUUAAUUGCUUUGAGGACGGUGACAGUUUUGAAAGUACCAAGGGAGCAAAUGUGAGGUGCAGUUUCAGCAAAUCAACAAAUCUUAUGAUAUAAUAUCCCCCUUCCCCAUUCCUGGCCUGCUCCUCCUUUUUGCAUCCCUAUGACUAUACACUCAACAGGACUCUUGACUAAAUGCAAGGAAGUUACCUUCAUACUGAAAAGAAGGCAGUUUAAGUUACACCUUGUCCAGCCACAUAAACUAAAAAGAAGAAAAAUUAUGUACGCUUUGGAUGUCAUGCUGACUUAGCAUCUGGAGUAUCUUCAGAUGAUGGCCAUAUGAAGCAAAUCAAGUCCUCAAAUAACCAAUUUGCAUGUAAAUCAUCAUUGUAUCCUACCCCACCCCUUUUCACUAUUUGUUUUUUAUAUUCUAGAACUUUUUAAACUGCCAAAUAACUAGCUACUAAAAGACAUGAUAAUUGCUAUUAAAGUUUGUGUACAAUAUUUAGUGCAGAAUAUCAGACAA